rnacentral:rRNA from 1 species
UACGUAGGUGGCAAGCGUUGUCCGGAUUUACUGGGCGUAAAGAGCGCGCAGGCGGUCGUUCAAGUCGCGUGUGAAAGCCCCCCGGCUCAACUGGGGAGGGUCACGCGAUACUGAUCGACUCGAAGGCAGGAGAGGGUAGUGGAAUUCCCGGUGUAGUGGUGAAAUGCGUAGAUAUCGGGAGGAACACCAGUGGCGAAGGCGACUACCUGGCCUGUUCUUGACGCUGAGGCGCGAAAGCGUGGGGAGCGAACAGG